rnacentral:rRNA from 1 species
CCUACGGGGGGCUGCAGUGGGGAAUAUUGGGCAAUGGGCGCAAGCCUGACCCAGCAACGCCGCGUGAAGGACGAAGGUCUUCGGAUUGUAAACUUCUUUGGUCGGGGACGAUAAUGACGGUACCCGAAGAACAAGCCACGGCUAACUACGUGCCAGCAGCCGCGGUAAUACGUAGGUGGCGAGCGUUAUCCGGAUUUACUGGGUGUAAAGGGCGUGUAGGCGGACGGACAAGUCAGAUGUGAAAUCUCCGGGCUUAACUCGGAAAGGUCAUCUGAAACUGUUCAUCUUGAGUGUCGGAGAGGAAAGCGGAAUUCCUAGUGUAGCGGUAAAAUGCGUAGAUAUUAGGAGGAACAUCAGUGGCGAAGGCGGCUUUCUGGACGACAACUGACGCUGAGGCGCGAAAGCGUGGGGAGCAAACAGGAUUAGAUACCCCAGUAGUC